rnacentral:sRNA from 1 species
UUCAUCCAGGCAAGGGCCAGUUGCAGUUCCAAAGACCUGCUGUCGUUUAGAAUGUAUUGAGAACCAAAAGGAGUAACAUAUCUUUCAAUAAGGACAAGAAGUGACACAGACACCACCAACAAGGAAGACUCCUGGGCCAAAGCCACAGUGACCAAGGAAAAUAAAAACAAACACCUUUCA